rnacentral:lncRNA from 1 species
AAAGAUCAUUUUUCUUAGAAGAGAAAACUGAAGAAAAAUAAGAGUUUGGGAUCAGCAAAGUUGGAAUCAAAAUAUUCUUGCUGAUAAUCCACCCAACAGAGAAUUCGGAUGUAAUACAAUUGGCCAUGAUUUUGGGAGCCACUGUCAUCACUCUACUUUCCCUUGCUGGUAUAUUUAGGCUGCUAGGUGAGCCCAAGCAUGAUGGACUUUGGCAAUCUGCAUGUCUUUGGAAUCAGACUUCUCUUACCUACUAAUUAAAUCCAUUCACAGCAAUCCUUUCUGGCAAGAUUCUUGCCAGCAUCCUCCUUAAUAGACUGAUCCUUCACCUGGAAGAUCCUUCAC